rnacentral:rRNA from 1 species
UAAUACCUGCAGCUCAAGUGGUGACCACUAUUAUUGGGCCUAAAACGUUCGUAGCCGGUUUAGUAAAUGCCUGGGUAAAUCGAGCCGCUUAACGGUUCGAAUUCCGGGUAGACUGCUAAACUUGAGACCGGGAGAGGCUAGAGGUACUCCUGGGGUAGGGGUGAAAUCCUGUAAUCCUGGGGGGACCACCAGUGGCGAAGGCGUCUAGCUAGAACGGGUCUGACGGUGAGGGACGAAGCCCUGGGGCGCAAACCGGAUUAGAUACCCGGGUAGUCCAGGGUGUAAACGCUGCUUGCUUGAUGUUAGUUGGGCUCUGAGCCCGAUUAGUGUCGGAGAGAAGUUGUUAAGCAAGCUGCCUGGGAAGUACGGUCGCAAGGCUGAAACUUAAAGGAAUUG